GGUGGCUGGAGAGAGGGGGCGGGGUACACCAUGGUACAUUACAAGGUACAAACAACCAUUAGCUCUAGCAUUUACACCUUUGUUCAAUUAAUGGUUGACCAAUUAACAAAAUCUUGCAUGUUGUUUUAGACGGUGGAGGAAACCAGAUGACAAAAAAAAACAUUGUCCAGCAGCAGAUGUUGCUUCUCUGUUUGCUAAUUAGGCUCGCUCAGUCCGUGUCACGAGAAUGAAACAACGCCGUUGAGCCAGCCAACACACCGAGCGUUCUGUAAAGAGGCCACAACUAAACAGGCUGCACAGGGGCUCUGUUACAGAUAAUAAUAAUAUGACUCAUUAAAGCGCAGCCUGCUUGUAGCUACAGGGAAAUUACAGCAAGAUAAUUUUAGUUUACAUUCUGGUCCAUGAAAGCAGGCCAGCUC